ACUGUAAGUCAAGUUUCAAGUCAUUGGUGUGAAUUAAAAGAAAAAAUCAAAACCGCACUAGUGGUAGCAAUUUAAUAACGUUCUCCAUCAAAAGAUCUAAAGCUUAUAGUUCUAUAGAAGGGACUAGAGAGGAUGAAUUAAAGUAACAUCUGUUACUAAACCGGGGGCAUGAGCUGAAAUCAGAAAAGGUUGUUAAAAGCCAAAUUUAGAGAUCAAUUCCACUG
rnacentral:lncRNA from 1 species